rnacentral:rRNA from 1 species
CAGCCGCCACGGUAAUACGGAGGGGGCUAGCGUUGUUCGGAAUUACUGGGCGUAAAGCGCACGUAGGCGGCUUGGUAAGUUAGAGGUGAAAGCCCGGAGCUCAACUCCGGAAUUGCCUUUAAGACUGCCGAGCUAGCAGGUGAGAGAGGUAAGUGGAAUUCCGAGUGUAGAGGUGAAAUUCGUAGAUAUUCGGAAGAACACCAGUGGCGAAGGCGGCUUACUGGCUCAUACUGGACGCUGAGGUGCGAAAGCGUGGGGAGCAAACAGGAUUAGAUACCCCCGUAGUCCCUGUCUCUUAUAC